rnacentral:lncRNA from 1 species
AUUUCCUGUAAAAAAAAUAAGAAUUCACCAUUUUUUCUCUCAAAACACAUUUUCUUCUUCUUAUUCUUCUUCUUCUUCCUGUUACCAUGAGAAAACCCAUGUUCAUCCCAAUCUUCAAACCUCUCAUUUUCCUUAAUUUUUCAAAUCCUUUAAACCCAAAAGCUUCUUAAAGUUCUUUAAAACCGUUUUAAACCUUGCAUGUCCAAAUAUGUCCCUAGACUUUUAGAAAUCAGACUUAAUCAACGAAGCACGAGAGAAUGACCCAAAAUUGGAGAACUUGAGUGCAAUUCAACAUAAAGGGGAGCUCAAAAACUAAUUUAAUCAGAACAUCAUCUUCUCACUUAGCACAAACUGUGAGUUCUUUUUAUUAAAGUUUUUUUUAUAUCAUGUGAGAUUGAGGUUUUAAUUUUAUUAUAAAAUUCUGAAGUUGUUUGGGAAAAAGGAGAAUGGAAGAAAAGAACUAAAAUAAAGAGGAAAAAGUAUAUCUAGCCAUAAGAAUUUCAUUGAAAUUUCAGCUUAUCUUUAUUAAUUUAGAAUGUGCAUGUUGUUUAUCUUUGGUUGUGAUGUUUGUGAGUGAAUUAUAUGUUAGUAAAAUUUAAUUAGAUGCACAUAACUAGAUUUAAUGUCAGUAUGCUUGUCGAGUACGAUUUCUACUCAUUACUGCUGUUGCCUCUGAUGUGUAUGUGAAAUUGUGAGUUCUGUUACAUCAACUUCUUCUAGUAUGAUGGUUUUGGACAUUGAAAUUCUUUAAAUAAACUAUUUUGGGGUUAUUACGGAUUAGGAGAAUUAGAGUGUGAGGAAAUUGAUUUUUCGCAUAUAGGUGUUUUAAAACUACAUCUAAAUGAUUCUUCAUGACUCUUAUGUUGUUAUAAAUUUCAUGACUCUUAUGUUGUUAUUAAAUUCAUGACUCUGAUAUUAUUACAAUUUUCAUGACUUUGAUGUUGUUACUAUUUUCAUGACUCCAAUGUUAAUUCUAUUUUUCUGCCUAUGAUUUCUGUUUUGAGUUAAGGACUUAUGAUUAAAUUAUAUGGGUUUAGUAUACCGCUAAGUUAUUUAUAAUUGUUGUGGAUGAAUGAUGCAUUUCAUAUAUGACAUAAUAAAGACAUUUCAUACAAAACAUCUCAAAUUUAGUACAAUAUCAUUAAUCAGAUCAUGCAUGGCCUUAUUCACGGUGGGACAUUCAAAUUAUUUUAGGCACGGAAUAACAGGUAAGGAGAAAAAUCAGGACGCUGAUUGGAGUUUUACUAGACCACCUUUACCAAUCAGAACUCAAUUAUCUUGGUGACCCACAUCAAAAUAUUGGGUGACUUUUCCUUAUUUCAAAGGAAAUGAUUUGAGGUCGCGCAUAUAUUUUUCAUAAUUAAAAAAACACACAUAUAUAUAUGUGUGUGUGUGUGUUUAUAAGUAAAACUUUUAUAAAAAUUAAAAGUGAAAGCUUUAACUUCAGAUAUAUAAUUGUUUUCAUGUUUUAUACAUUUUUAUGAAAGUAAAUCUUUGAGACUUUUUCCCCUUUUACUUUUCAGAGCUCACUAAGAUAUUUUUAUCUGACCCCAUUUAUUUAUUUAUUUUUAGCAGUUGGAGGAACAUGAGACAUGAAUUUAGC